rnacentral:rRNA from 1 species
CAAUAGCGUAUAUUAAAGUUGUUGCAGUUAAAAAGCUCGUAGUCGGAUUUUGGCAUCACGCCGAACUGUCUGCCGAUUGGUAAGUACGGUUUGGCGGGUGCUUCCUUCCGGAGGCUCGUUCCCUUCUUCAUUGAAGGGUUCGUUGGUUCCGGGUCUUUUACUUUGAGAAAAUUAGAGUGUUCAAAGCAGGCCUAUGCUCUGAAUAGGUUAGCAUGGAAUAAUAGAAUAGGACUUUGGUUCUAUUUUGUUGGUUUCUAGGACCGAAGUAAUGAUUAAUAGGGACAGUUGGGGGCAUUCAUAUUCCAUUGUCAGAGGUGAAAUUCUUGGAUUAACGGAAGAUGAACUUCUGCGAAAGCAUCUGCCAAGGAUGUUUUCAUUGAUCAAGAACGAAAGUUAGGGGAUCGAAGACGAUCAGAUACCAU